rnacentral:lncRNA from 1 species
UUUUCUUUUUUUUUAGCAGGAUCGACCUCGAUUCCUCUUAUCCGCUCACAAUAAACCUCAGCAGUUUACCGGAUAGCACUCCACAAGUGCACUGAUUCGGACUCAACCUCAGUCUGAGUUGUCUCGAUCCGGUCAAACAACUUGGCCAAUCGACCUCGAUUCCUCUUAUCCGCUCACAAUAAACCUCAGCAGUUUACCGGAUAGCACUCCACAAGUGCACUGAUUCGGACUCAACCUCAGUCU